rnacentral:tRNA from 1 species
UCUUGUGUGGCUCAUUUGGAAGAGCAUGGCACUUGCAGCACCAGGGUUGUGGGUUCAAUUCCCACUAGAGGAC